GACGAACGCUGGCGGCGUGCUUAACACAUGCAAGUCGAACGGAAAGGCCCUGCUUGCAGGGUACUCGAGUGGCGAACGGGUGAGUAACACGUGGGUGAUCUGCCCUUCACUUCGGGAUAAGCCUGGGAAACUGGGUCUAAUACCGGAUAUGACCUUCCAUGUAGUGUGGGGGGUGGAAAGAUUUAUCGGUGUGGGAUGAGCCCGCGGCCUAUCAGCUUGUUGGUGGGGUAAUGGCCUACCAAGGCGUCGACGGGUAGCCGGCCUGAGAGGGUGGACGGCCACAUUGGGACUGAGAUACGGCCCAGACUCCUACGGGAGGCAGCAGUGGGGAAUAUUGCACAAUGGGCGGAAGCCUUAUGCAGCGACGCCGCGUGGGGGAUGACGGCCUUCGGGUUGUAAACCUCUUUCGACAGGGACGAAGCUUCGGUGACGGUACCUGUAUAAGAAGCACCGGCUAACUACGUGC
rnacentral:rRNA from 1 species